AAAACAAAAAAUCAAUAAUCCGCUAUCAGGGCAAUGUAAUCUCAACAUAUCGAUCAGUUUCCAGUCCCGUUAGUAUAAUAGUCCCAGUUUUUUAGCACCUUGUUAUUCUCUAUUCUUUAUUUUUUUGGUCCAUUUUCUCUAUUGUUUAUGUUUUUUCCCCAUUAUUCUCUAUUCUGUAAACCCCCAUCACACCCUCAUGUAAGUUGUAGCAUUAUUUGUUUAUUUAUAUUUUUUUUACACAGAAGAUAUAUUUCUAACAUCUCAUCAAAAGUAAUCUCAGUAAAUAUAUAAAGAAACCAUAUAUUUUCUACAGGUACAACAAACAUUAGAUGAUUUAUUUUAAAAUUUGUGCCUCAGUGGCCUAGUGGUCUAAAUAGAUCAUCUAUAGUGAUCACUAGCCUGUCAGUGCUGAGGAACUCAUCUCAUGGCAAGGUGCAUUAAAAUCUCAUCUUUAUUGACUAGUAUUGCCACUUUUCCUGCAGAAGGUUGAUUUUAUUUCUCAGAGGGAAUCCAGCUUACUCUUCCAAUAAAAACUGGUUAAAUUCUAAAAUAGCUAAAAUUCUGAAAGUGACGUUAAACUAGAACAAUCAAUCGAUCUUUAAAGAUUCACUCUUGAUUGUGAAUAUUGGGUGAAUGCUAGUUGUUUCUGGUGAUUCACUCUGAAAGAUGUCUCUGUAUAUAAGUAUAGAUUAUUGGGUUUUCUUCCCAUUUUUAUCAUAAAAUAUCUGCCAUGAGCUACAAUGAGAACCUUUUUGGCGAGUGAGUUCAGUUGACUAGCAAAAAGCUUCACAUUGUGUCGAUAUCUAUACGUAGAAAACCAAUAAUCUGUCUAUCGUUCUAUUACUGGGUGAUAUAGGCAUAGAGAUAAUGUAGAUGAUAUAUGUCAGGGUCAUAAAUCAAGACUGUUAUCACCUCCAAUCACCAACAUCGAAUUAGUCCACGCCAGUAACAAUGCCAAAUCACCUUUGUGUGUAUUGCAUUGGUACCAAUUUUUUUUUUAUAUUAAUGUUACUUUUAAGUUAACUAUGACAAACUUAAUUGAGAUUAUUGGAAAUUAACCUUAGCAGAUUAUGUUGUGGAGAAACAAAGCGUUGUAUAUUUAUAUUUAUUGUUCUGGACUUGGUUUAGAAUACUGUAUUAUAUUCCUUUAUAAGAAUUGUCAUUACUUUUGUAGAUACAUGUAUUUUUAUAUGCUUUGGAGAAAUCUCGCUGAAUAUUUUGAAUUCAUUUCCCCUCAUGUACUAUUAUCCUUGUUUGACUUUAAUGAGUCAUUUUCCAAACCAUUUGAAAUUCCUCCUAUCGUUCCCAUUCAUGUGUACAAAAUCCAAAUUGAAGGGACAAAUAUUUAUAGAUAAACUCAUUAUAGAUACCAGGAUUAAAAUUUUGUACGACAGAGGCACAUUUCGUCUACAAAAGACUCAUCAGUGAUGCUGAAUCAACAAAUUUAAGAAGGCCAAAUAAAUACGAAGUUAAGAGCAUCCACCCAAAAUUUGAAUAUUUUUGCCAAAUACAGCUAAGGUGAUCUAUUCCUGGGUAGAAAAUCCUUAGUAUUUUUAAAGGAUUUAUAAAGGAGAAGUUGCAUCAAUUGCCAAUAUUUGCAAUAAGUUAUGUCAUAGUAGUAACUGCCAUUUAGAAAGUAGAUUUACAAAAGAUCAAUAUUGCACAUAAUAAUUGUGCUUCAUUUGUUCGUUUGAAAUUUCAGUGAUUUUUAGGCAGCGAUUACUUAUUUUCCUGUUUAAGGUGUUUGAGUUAAUGAAAAGAAUCUAUUAUAAAAUGGCAUUACUACUUGAUGGUAAAUAAUAAAAAUGAUAUUUCAGUGCCAUAAUGAGGCCUCCUUGAAAUUUUUUCUUGAUACCUAUUUUUUUCAUAAAUAAGAACUUGUAUAAAUUUGUUAACAAUUGAUGUCUUGUACACUAAAUGUUUACAAUUAAAUUGUUAUUUGCUAAUAUAAAUCUAGUCAUUUCUCAUGUGUUGUAUAAAAUAGUUUAUAUUAUUGUAAAAAUAUAUAAAGUUGUAUGUUAAACAGUUAUUGUGAUUUAAAAUUUAAAAAAAUAAACUGAUUAUCAUUUUUCAUUCAAAGUUAUUAAAGCAUUCCCAGAUUUUUGUCAAAAACAUUCUGAUAUUGAUUAUAACCUUUAAAGAGGUUUUGUUAAACAUGAGCUAUUGACAUGUAUAACACUUGUACUACAGCCCCCCUCAAAUAAUGCUAUUGUAUUUUAUUUUCUGCAACCCUUGUUACAAGGACAUUAUCAUCAGAGGAAUUUUGUUAUUUAUAGUCAAUUAUGUUCAAGAUUCUCAUGUAGAUAAUAUACUAUGUUUACUAUAUAGAUCAUUAAAAAUAACCAAGAUAGUUAGACAAGUUUUGAAAUAAGGCAACAUACAAAAAAAAUUUAAGAAUGUUGUUUAAAUUAUUUAAUGGACUUUAUCAGUUUUAGAUCUGUUCUGAAAACACAUAAUAUUUUUUAUCUAUUUACAUUUAAACCUCUAAGAAAUUUUGUUGGACUAUUUAAGUGUAUUCUGCUUUACUAUAUCAUGUAUAUGUAUACUUCUUCUUCUUAAUAAAGAUAUUUACAGUGCC